CGGGGGAAAAAAUUAUUGCUAUUGGAUGAGCCUAUAUUAGAUUAGUUAGUUGGUGAGGUAAUAGCUUACCAAGGCAAUGAUCUAUAGCUGAUCUGAGAGGAUGAUCAGCCACACUGGAACUGAGAUACGGUCCAGACUCCUACGGGAGGCAGCAGUGGGGAAUAUUGGACAAUGGGCGAAAGCCUGAUCCAGCCAUGCCGCAUGAGUGAAGAAGGCCUUUGGGUUGUAAAGCUCUUUUAGUGAGGAAGAUAAUGACGGUACUCACAGAAGAAGUCCUGGCUAACUCCGUGCCAGCAGCCGCGGUAAUACGGAGAGGGCUAGCGUUAUUCGGAAUUAUUGGGCGUAAAGGGCGCGUAGGCUGGUUAAUAAGUUAAAAGUGAAAUCCCGAGGCUUAACCUUGGAAUUGCUUUUAAAACUAUUAAUCUAGAGAUUGAAAGAGGAUAGAGGAAUUCCUGAUGUAGAGGUAAAAUUCGUAAAUAUUAGGAGGAACACCAGUGGCGAAGGCGUCUAUCUGGUUCAAAUCUGACGCUGAAGCGCGAAGGCGUGGGGAGCAAACAGGAUUAGAUACCCUGGUAGUCCACGCUGUAAACGAUGGAUGUUAAAUAUGGGGAGUUUACUUUCUUUUUUACAGCU
rnacentral:rRNA from 1 species